GUCCUAGCUGUAAACGAUGGGCACUGGGUAGAGGGGGCGUCGAUACCCUCUUUGCCGAAGCAAAUGUGUUAAGUGCCCCGCCUGGGGAGUACGGUCGCAAGGCUAAAAACUCAAAGGAAUUGACGGGGGCUCACACAAGCGGUGGAGCAUGUGGUUCAAUUCGAAGCAACGCGAAGAACCUUACCCGGGUUUGAAAUUCACGGAUGGGUCCGGUGAAAGCUGGAUACCCUACCCGCAAGGGUGAAACGUGGACAGGUGUUGCAUGGCUGUCGU
rnacentral:rRNA from 1 species